rnacentral:rRNA from 1 species
UACAGAGGUGGCAAGCGUUGUUCGGAAUUACUGGGCGUAAAGGGCGCGUAGGCGGUCUUGUAAGUCUUGUGUGAAAUCCCUCGGCUCAACUGAGGAACUGCACGGGAUACUGCGAGACUUGAGUUCGGGAGAGGGAAGCGGAAUUCCGGGUGUAGCGGUGAAAUGCGUAGAUAUCCGGAGGAACACCGGUGGCGAAGGCGGCUUCCUGGACCGACACUGACGCUGAGGUGCGAAAGCGUGGGGAGCAAACAGG